rnacentral:rRNA from 1 species
CCGGUGACGUAUCCUUCAAAUGUCUGACUUAUCAGCUGUCGAUGGUAGACUCUGUGUCUACCAUGGCGCUCACGGGUGACGGGGAAUCAGGGUUCGAUUCCGGAGAGGGAGCCUGAGAAACGGCUACCACAUCCAAGGAAGGCAGCAGGCACGCAAAUUACCCACUCCCGGCACGGGGAGGUAGUGACAAAAAAUAACGAUACGGGACUCAUCCGAGGCCCCGUAAUCGGAAUGAGAACACCCUAAAUCCUUUAACGAGGAUCUAUUGGAGGGCAAGUCCGGUGCCAGCAGCCGCGGUAAUUCCGGCUCCAAUAGCGUAUAUUAAAGUUGUUGCGGUUAAAAAGCUCGUAGUUGGUUCUGCGUGCCGCGCUGUCGGUUCACCGCCUGCCGGUGCAACUGGCAUGCCGCGGCAUGUCCUGUCGGUGGCGGACAGGCUUCCCGGCGUGCCCUACGCGUUUAACAGCGUGUAGGCCGCCGCGCCGGGUCGUCCUUGAACGCCGGCUCAAUCCUACCGCGGUGCUCUUUACCGAGUGUCGAGGUAGGCCGACACUGUUUACUUUGAACAAAUUAGAGUGCUUAAAGCAGGCUCUUAAAUCAGCCUGAAUAGUGGUGCAUGGAAUAAUGGAACAGGACCUUGGUUCUAUUUUGUUGGUUUUCGGAAUCCAAGGUAAUGAUCAAUAAGGACAGGCGGGGGCAUUCGUAUUGCGACGUUAGAGGUGAAAUUCUUGGAUCGUCGCAAGACGCACUAGAGCGAAAGCAUUUGCCAAGUAUGUCUUAUUGAUC